UGCGGACUUGAGAUUAAUUCGGUUCUUAAUUUGCUUCAGUAAAAUUACCAGCACUAUGCCUCCUGGUUUGAUUGGCGGCUCGACAAAUACUUGAGCUUUCCUGCACGCAGUAGUUCUGUAUUCUAUGACUAUCGUCGUUCCAUAUAGCAUGUAUGCAAGAAAUUAUGUUGAAGAUGUUAGAAUUGUCACCUAAUGACCAGCCUCUCUCCAUCUUUUGAGCAUUCAUAGAAGCUGCAGCCUCUGGUGAAAGGUAAAAAGUGGGAAGCCGAAGCAGGAGGAGUACCUAGGUGCCAAUUCACCCACGCCGUCUCCUCGUCCUCACUGACAUUUUUGAGGAUGAAUCUAACAUUCUUGCCCAUGCUUGAAGUAAGUUGCGCAAAGAAGAGCAAGACCUCCUGCGUUAACUUUGCCUUAGGCCAUGACAAAAAGAAGCAACAAGAAUUACAAUUCAAGACUUGAAUCCUCUACUUCGCACAGCACUUACUGCCUUCGGUUUCUCAAUAAAUCACAAUUCAUUGAUUUAUGGAGAUGAAGCCGCAAUCAACGAUUGUGAUUUAUCGAGGGACCAAAGGGAGCAAGUGUGGUGUAGCGGAUCCUACCACUAGCUAGUACACAAGAAACCUUGUUUCCAUUGAAUGGUGUGGGGAAGGAGAAGUCCUCAAAGCAACAAUCUUUCGAGAUGACCUCAUCUAGCGCCUUCAGGUUCUUCUCGUUGAUGCAUUCAUACAACUGCUUUGCUCUCUCGCCCGGCGAGUGUGAUCUCGGAGUAGGGUGAAUGUCACUUCUCGAAGUCAACACCAGUGUGAGCUUGCGAUGAUAAUGAAUUCGGAUGCCUCGUGUCUUGA